AGGUGAAGAACAGCUAUAGUUAUAUAAAACUAUAAGACCUCGGGACAUAUUUGGAAACAAGUGAGAACCAAGUUAUAUUUCCUGAUUAAAUACUCUGCGAUAAUUCAGCAGAACUUAAUACUUCACUAGAAGUUUGUUACCAAGAAUUUGACAGGCUCUUUUCUGCAAAAUUACUUGUUCUAAUUUGCUGCAAAGAGUCAAUAUGGCACUGGUCCA